rnacentral:rRNA from 1 species
GUAUUAGCUAGUUUGGUGAGGUAAAGGCUCACCAAGGCAGUGAUACGUAGCCGACCUGGAGAGGGUAAUCGGCCACAUUGGGACUGAGACACGGCCCAGACUCCUACGGGAGGCAGCAGUAGGGAAUCUUCCACAAUGGACGCAAGUCUGAUGGAGCAACGCCGCGUGAGUGAAGAAGGGUUUCGGCUCGUAAAGCUCUGUUGUUAAAGAAGAACGUGGGUAAGAGUAACUGUUUACCAGUGACGGAUUUAACCAGAAAGCCACGGCUAACUACGUGCCAGCAGCCCGGUAAUACGUAGGUGGCAAGCGUUAUCCGGAUUUAUUGGGCGUAAAGCGAGCGCAGGCGGUCUUUUAAGUCUAAUGUGAAAGCCUUCGGCUCAACCGAAGAAGUGCAUUGGAAACUGGGAGACUUGAGUGCAGAAGAGGACAGUGGAACUCCAUGUGUAGCGGUGAAAUGCGUAGAUAUAUGGAAGAACACCAAGUGGCGAAGGCGGCUGUCUGGUCUGCAACUGACGCUGAGGCUCGAAAGCAUGGGUAGCGAACAGGAUUAGAUACCCUGGUAGUCCAUGCCGUAAACGAUGAUUACUAAGUGUGGAGGGUUUCCGCCCUUCAGUGCUGCAGCUAACGCAUUAAGUAAUCCGCCUGGGGAGUACGACCGC